ensembl:lincRNA 4933431M02Rik RIKEN cDNA 4933431M02 gene
GUGGCGUUGUUUACGGAGACGGUGUACCGGAGGCCGGUGCCAUCUUUUAGGCGCCUGGCUGCCUACACAUUUACAGCACAGGAAUGCAGCUGAUAUCUCUGAAAGCAGAAAGACUGAAGGCUCCUGGGCAGAACAACUGGCUACAGCAGAUGCUAAAAAACAGAGCCUCAGAGAAAGAAGGCGGCUAAUGGCCCCAGGAAAUCUGUCCCAUCAUCUGGGUCCCUCGAUGAAGCAUCCAAACUCAGCACAGAGAAAAUAAAUGUACAAUGGGGAGAGAAAUCAUUCUCUGUACCACCAUCACCAUGAAGGUUACCAUCAGCACACACUCAAGGAAGAAAACAGGCCUGAAUCCAAAGAAGAUGCAGCUUAAGAUCACUGAACUAUGAAGACAAAUAUCUGAAUGUUUAAACACAUAAAGAAUUUCCCCCUUUCAAUCCACACAUAGCCUCAUGCUGUCAAGAACUUCGCAGGACUCCUUAUUAAGAGCUGACAGGCUUUGCUUGCAAGCAGGCUUCCCCCAUCUCUAGCAAUACAGAAGGUAUUGGUACAUUCCUAUUUUUCUCCAAACAUAGGAGGAGGCUUGCAACCUACUGACUUCGAACCACCAUGAAAAUGACAGAUUGCUACUUUGUGAUAAUUGUCAUAAGAUUCCAUGCCUGAAACUGAGAUGUUUUCUUCUUCUUUUCCCACUUCUUCUAUUUCAAGUGACCCUAUUAAUGAUAGAUCUCUACUUGAAAUAAUUGGCUAUUCUAAAACUGAGAAAUAAGCACUUUCCUGUCCUCAUUGUUUUUCCUUCUUUAUCUCUAACAGCCCCAGAGGAUCACAAACAUUUGUCCUCAGGGCAAUAUCAGCGGUUAAUGAUUCAUGUUCAAAGUCUGUGAGUUGUCUAAUUAACAAAAGGCAAUGUUUUACAGAAGCCAUUUUUGCUUUCAAGUUAAUAGCACGCAGCAGAUACAAAUGCUACAAUGCCAUGCAGGUCUUCAAGGCUGUGUUACACUACUGUUUCUAAAGGUUCCAGAUUUAUUUAUCCGACCCAAACUUCAAGCCAUUAAAAACAAAGCACUCUCGUUUGUUUCCUUUUGAAUGACUGGCAGUCUUACAGCACUAUUCACAUAUCACAUCCUCCUGUAAUGUACUCAUAAAAUUCAUGUUUCAGUUCUUAUUAAAUGGGACACUUGAUUAAUGAAAAUAAUAUGAGCUUAUUUUCUGUCAACUAUAUUCAUAACAAUAGCAGUCAUUAAAGAAAUCAGAAUCUUUAAAAUAACCCAAUCAUCUUUUAAUAUAAAUGGUGACACAUAUGAAAUAUUUCCUCAAUAGCAUGUGUGGUAAGACUUCUGUUACUAUAGCAACGUGUCAUUCUACAUUUUCAUACAGAAAGACUGAUGUUUGAUAAAUAUUGACAUUUUCAAAAUUACAGUAUGUGUAUGUGUCU